CAGAGGUGCCAAGCGUUAGGCGGAAUUACUGGGCGUAAAGGGCUCGUAGGCGGCCAACUAAGUCAGACGUGAAAUCCCUCGGCUUAACCGGGGAACUGCAUCUGAUACUGGAUGGCUUGAGUUCGGGAGAGGGAUGUGGAAUUCCAGGUGUAGCGGUGAAAUGCGUAGAUAUCUGGAGGAACACCGGUGGCGAAGGCGGCAUCCUGGACCGACACUGACGCUGAGGAGCGAAAGCCAGGGGAGCAAACGGG
rnacentral:rRNA from 1 species